GCGGGCGUAGCUCAGGUUGGUAGAGCGCAACCUUGCCAAGGUUGAGGUCGCCGGUUCGAACCCGGUCGCCCGCU
rnacentral:tRNA from 1 species